GAGAUUACCGCGAAAUGCCGCGAACAAAUACGAAGUUGAUUUUCAAGUUGAUUGUUGUGCUUUCCUGAAGAAGUGAGUAUUGUUAACUCAAUGUAUAUGUGAAAUGAGUGUGUGUUUUUAACAGAGUAUGUCUCCUGAUUAGCAUAAAGUUCGUUUAUAUUUACCAAAGUUAGCAUACUUGUUAUAUUGCGUUACUUAAGCUAACCAGCGAAGCUAAUAUUGUGUUUAUGUCUGUUAAAUAGUGUUUUAAGACAGAAGUCAUUCUCCAGUAAAAGCUGUGUGGCAGCCACAUCCCCCAGAAAACAGACACAUAAAGUAAUAAAUCUAAACAUGGUGCUUAUGUAAUUUUCUAAAUAAAUUAAAAAUGCAUACAGAAUUUUUUUGACUGAACUCGAAAUGAAAAUGUUAGCUUUAAUCUUGGCUUCACCCAUGAGUUGGCUGAUAAGAAAACCAUUGCUACAGAUUGUGGCUAGGACCCUAUAUGUACUGUUGAUGAAGUUAGGUGCUGUUCUGAGCAUUAUUUGUGGCUAUAGAGUGGUGUUUUGGUUUAGCGCGUGGCUCUCUGUAUUGCUAUCGUGUGGUUGUUACUGAAGUUGGUAUAACUAGAGAAGCAAGCAGUCAGCAACAUUUAUCUCUCGACGGGGUGUCUUAACUCGGCGUUACAGUGUGUUUGACCCUGAAUUAAUUUUACGUGGGAAUAUCCCUUUUAAAGGAGAACAAAUCUGGAUAAGGGGGAGAAAUUUUCAGUUUCAGCACAAACACUCAAGCUAGAAACCAAAGGCCCUUAGGGUCUUUGUAGUUAAAGGUUCAAAGGUGUUUUAAUCCUGUAUUUAGCACUGUUCUCAUAGAAAAAAAAUCAUCUUCCUGAGGUGCUACUGCAGCUUUCUCAAAUUUGUGUCAGAGUUUUUGUUCCAAACCUGACACAGUGUUUUAUUUUUUAUUUUCAUAACAGUCACCUGCAGGUGUUACAGUUUUCACAGACUGAACCUCUCAUUUUGCUGCAAAAGUUGUCAACUUUGUCAGCUUCUUUCAGUUCUCACAGUCUCCCUCGUCGGGAACAUCCAGCUUCACUCUGAGUCGAGAACCCGUGAGAGUGAAAUUCCUUAAAUCCGGAAACUUGUUAACAUCGUGCAGCGAGAAAACUCCCCUCAACUCUUCACCUCAGCCGACUCCUUUUUUUCUGUCUCAUGGCGGGAAAGGAGAGAAGCACAGUGUAGAGUUAUCAAAGCAGUUAUGUCUCACAGAAAGUAUGAAAAGGUUUGAUAAGCUUUCUUCUCAUUAAAACUCUUCAACCCUUUCUUCUUUUUUCACUGAUGGCUAAAUUAACUUAAAGCAGAGACCCGGCGGCUUUUAUUUGCCCGCUGACCUUCAUUAGCUGAAUAAAUGUCUGCACGGACUGAAGGUUCGACUGUAUAAAAUCAUAAAACCUGCAUCCAUGGACCAAAAGUACAUUUAUUUUUUAUUUUUGCAUAUUUUAAUUUGCACACUGACGCACUCGGAUGCAGCCAAGUUAAUUGAAAUCCAGCAAAUAAAUAGUUAAUAAUAUGAAAGUAUAUUCCUGCAUAUCUGUAAUGUGCUGCUUAGAAAACUUCAAAAGAUUUCAUGAAGGUUAUUUAUUUAAGUAAGUAAUUGAUAUUUUUGACGAAGACCAAUUUUCUAUAAGUUGUUACAAAAUAUUCCAAAGGUCAAUCAGUCAGAAACUCAGACUAGGUUUAAAAAAGUUGAGAAAUUUCUUUGAACACUCUGCCCUUUACAAACUCUGAGCUCAUUUCACCCCCGAGGAGCUCAGUAUGAAGAUAUUUAAUGAGGAGAAGACGAGUUAAAAGGUAACUGGAGACACAUCUUUAAAGGUGUAAUUGCAUUUUUUUAUGUAUUUCAAAUAAACACAUAAAGCUUUUGCUCUAAUGAACCAGACAUGAAGACAGAUUGGUAGCUCAGGGCGAUGCAUCCUCAAAGUUAUAGAGUCUGCACCUACCUCCACCAGUGUAGCAUCUCUUAACUCUGUUAUCCCAGAACCAACCCCACUCCAUGCUGGCUGUCAUCUGCCACCACACCUAAAUAUUAGAUUUUGCAUGUAAUAUUGAGCACUCCGCCUCUAUCCUGAGAGUCUCUGCCCUUCCACUUGCAAACAUAGAAUCCUAAGGCAGGGAGAGCAGCAGUAAAAACCACAGAGCAGAGAGGACAUCAGUGGCGGUUACUUAGUGUUGGACGGUAUGAACAAAAUCUUCUAUCACAGUAUGAGUAAUUUCAUAUCACGUUAAUGAUCUAUAUCACGGUGUGUUUUUCUCCUUGUAAAUUCAAUUAAUGGCUUAUAAAUAACCACACUGUCGCAUUUGUUCAUUUUCCUUUUAUUUUUAAACUCAGAUUUGUGUACAAAUGCAAACAAAAUGUCAGACCAGUCUGGCGAUUUUUUUAUCAUAUGGCGUACCUUUGGCGAAAGACUCUGCCAAGCUCUUUUGUAUGAGAGGAGCUGCUGCAGCUGCUGUAGCUCAGGAGGUAGAGCAGUCGUCCAACAACUGGAAGGUUGGUGGUUCAUUUCCCCCUAUCCCGAGUCUGUCUGGUGUGUCCUUGGGCAAGACACUUAACCCCCCUUGCUCCCAGUGUGUGUCCUCCACUGGUAUUUGAUUGUUAGUGUUGUGUGAUGGUGGUCGGAGAGGCCGUAGGCGCAAACUGCCAGCCACGGUUUCGUCAGUCUGCCCCAGGACAACUGUGACUACUGAGGUAGUGUACCACCACCAGGGUGUGACUGUGAGCGAAUGAAUGAUGUAUCCAAUGUAAAGCGCUUUGAGGGUCUCUGAUAAAGCGCUAUAUGAAAUCUGAUGCAUUAUUAUUAUUAUUGGCAAUGCAUCUGAUGCCAGUAAAAUCAGACAGAAGGUGCUGGAGCGGAGGGUUGAAGCAGAACAGGUAGGGUAGGCAGGUUACAGCAGUGUAACAAGUUGGAUGCAUUGAAGGUGACUGGCUGAGCUGUCAGCUAAUAUUGGCUGGCUCUAUGAUCAGAUAAUAUAUUGGGGGAUUAGUUUAGGACUAACACGAUGUUUCAAUAAAACAUACCUAACAGAAUUUAAUUAGAAAGAGUCUGUCUUGAAUUUGCUUCAUUUGAGUGCCUUUCUUAAUUUUCUCUCGUCUUUGCCUGUGUUCAUCCAGCCUCUGCCUUAUAUCUAAAGAAACCACAUUUAAAUACACCCUCAAGGACCUCAAGUUUUAUAAGUAAACAUUCAUCAAAAUUGCAAUUUAUGGGCAGCAAAUAAAUGCAAGCACAACACUGGUUAAUUUCGGGAUAUUCUAACACUGAAAACAUGAAAACUAACACAAACAUUAUCCUGCAAAAACACAUUUUUUCAAUGAAGUAGUCGCCCCCUCUGAAGCAGGAGGAACAAGAAUAUAUUAACUAAAGAUUUAAUGACAGAAGUUUAAUUCCAAUAUGACGCAUAAACAACACAGAGCAACGAAAGAGCCAAGACCAUCAGCACACUCUGAGUCAUUUGUAUUGAUCCAUAAACCUAUCAGAGGCUGCAGAUAAUAAUAUCAUGGCCAUCUUGAGCUAUAGUGCAAUAAAGAUCUUACAUUUACCUCUAACAGUUCACAGCAGACUGAUGGCGCUCCUGCUGACCAGAGGAGGGCGGCCUGAUGGGAGUUCAUGCCCCCCAUCAGCUCCUCAUUGGCCUCUGGGUGACUGCACGGAGCUGCAGGCAGGGAUGCAAAGAAAGAAAAAAAAAGGUAAUAAAUUGGUAAACAUCAUUUACUAUAUACACACACCUGCACAUGAAGUGCAUAUGAUCAAAUAACAUCCCAUAUGGCAUCAACAGGCGAUCACUGACAGACCUGUAAUUGAGCCCACGCUCACACAUGUAAUAUCACUCUAUAUAUCACAG